rnacentral:rRNA from 1 species
UACGUAGGGUGCAAGCGUUAAUCGGAAUUACUGGGCGUAAAGCGUGCGCAGGCGGUGAUGUAAGACAGUUGUGAAAUCCCCGGGCUCAACCGGGGAACUGCAUCUGUGACUGCAUUGCUGGAGUGCGGCAGAGGGGGAUGGAAUUCCGCGUGUAGCAGUGAAAUGCGUAGAUAUGCGGAGGAACACCGAUGGCGAAGGCAAUCCCCUGGGCCUGCACUGACGCUCAUGCACGAAAGCGUGGGGAGCAAACAGG